rnacentral:pre_miRNA from 1 species
AGCCAAUUUGUUGCCUUUGCCUGCAUUUGCACCUGCACCUUAUAAAUAUGUACAAUGUAAGAGGUGCAGAGGCAAGUGCAAGUGAAUGCCAUUUUGGCU